ensembl:misc_RNA
UUCUCAGGCUGAUGGAGUGAGUGACGGAGUGGGUUGCCAACUAUAGUGACUCCACUCAGCGUGCGGGAUGGCUGCGGGGAAUAUAUUCAGACAUGCCCAGAGAAGCCUGCCCAGGGGGAAACACAUACCUUUGAGGU